rnacentral:rRNA from 1 species
UACGAAGGGGGCUAGCGUUGCUCGGAAUCACUGGGCGUAAGCGCACGUAGGCGGAUUGCUAAGUCAGGGGUGAAAUCCUGGAGCUCAACUCCAGAACUGCCUUUGAUACUGGCGACCUUGAGUUCGGGGAGAGGUGAGUGGAACUGCGAGUGUAGAGGUGAAAUUCGUAGAUAUUCGCAAGAACACCAGUGGCGGAAGGCGGCUCACUGGCCCGAUACUGACGCUGAGGCACGGAAAGCGUGGGGAGCAAACAGG